UACAAGGAGGGUUUGACGUGCGGUACUUGACUUAAACGUGCAAGCUUGGGAAAGUCUAAAAACAGUAAAACGACUGCCGUCACGUGAUGCCAUUUAAACGAUCCGUCGAGGACUUGAUUGAGAUAUGAGAUAGAAAUCAAUUAAAAUCCUUCGGAAGAAUGCGCCAAUUUCAAGGCAAUGGAACGAUGAAGAAAAUGGUUUCGUGCGAAGAUAUUACAUACCAAUUUGAUACGUCUUCAGCGCGUAAUCAUUGUAACGAGCACUUUCGUUUCCCUUAAAUUCAGGAUUCCUUUAAUAACAGGCCAGCGCGCUCGGGGCUAAAUAAGAUCUUUCCUCUCUGCUCGACGCGACGCCUUAUUACACGUCAAAUAUUUUCACGGUUAUACCGAGAAGAAAAGGAACCGAACGUUGGCGUCUCAAGGAUACCGACGGAUGGAGAAAAUGACGAAUAGGAAGAAGUUGGGAAAGAGCGAGACAGACAUAUGGGAAAGAUAAAUGAAAAUCUGAUAGAGAAAAAUACAGAUGGAGAUAAAUUAAAGUUGAAAGAAUUGGAGACAAAGAAUCUACAAUUGGAAAGAAAGAAGGUAUUGGAGAUGUAAUCCCGACUCAGAAGAAUGCACCAUAUAAAGAGUUCGAUGACUUGUCGACGAUGCGCCUGAGGCAAGUGAGGCGACAGAAACUGUUGCGAUCUCAAAAGUGUUAAGUGUAGGUCAGUUAUACGAGAGAAACUGGUUCGAUCACAACGAGUCAGUCGCUAAAACAAAAAUGGGAAGUUCACAUUACUUUGAAGGUCGUUUAUCUUGUAUUAUCAGCUGCGCAUUAAUUUCGUAAAAACUGCAUUAAAGCCAUCAGCGACUAAAAAUAACACAUAUUUCUAUAUAUGACGUUCUAUAUAUAAAUACUUUUUUAAUACCCAAAAACGAUAAUAAAUUUUAUUCUUUAGAUUUAAUGCGUGAAAACAAUCCAUUUAAAAGUUUAAUUAAAAAUUCUUUUAUAAUA